rnacentral:rRNA from 1 species
AACGAACGCUGGCGGCAGGCCUAACACAUGCAAGUCGAACGGAAAGGCCCUGCUUUUGUGGGGUGCUCGAGUGGCGAACGGGAGAGUAACACGUGAGUAACCUGCCCUUGACUUUGGGAUAACUUCAGGAAACUGGGGCUAAUACCGGAUAGGAGCUCCUGCUGCAUGGUGGGGGUUGGAAAGUUUCGGCGGUUGGGGAUGGACUCGCGGCUUAUCAGCUUGUUGGUGGGGUAGUGGCUUACCAAGGCUUUGACGGGUAGCCGGCCUGAGAGGGUGACCGGCCACAUUGGGACUGAGAUACGGCCCAGACUCCUACGGGAGGCAGCAGUGGGGAAUAUUGCACAAUGGGCGGAAGCCUGAUGCAGCAACGCCGCGUGCGGGAUGACGGCCUUCGGGUUGUAAACCGCUUUCGCCUGUGACGAAGCGUGAGUGACGGUAAUGGGUAAAGAAGCACCGGCUAACUACGUG